GAUGAACGCUGGCGGCGUGCCUAAUACAUGCAAGUCGAGCGAACAGAUGAGGAGCUUGCUCCUCUGACGUUAGCGGCGGACGGGUGAGUAACACGUGGAUAACCUACCUAUAAGAUUGGGAUAACUUCGGGAAACCGGAGCUAAUACCGGAUAAUAUAUUGAACCGCAGGGUUCAAUAGUGAAAGACGGUUUGGCUGUCACUUAUAGAUGGAUCCGCGCCGCAUUAGCUAGUUGGUAAGGUAACGGCUUACCAAGGCAACGAUGCGUAGCCGACCUGAGAGGGUGAUCGGCCACACUGGAACUGAGACACGGUCCAGACUCCUACGGGAGGCAGCAGUAGGGAAUCUUCCGCAAUGGGCGAAAGCCUGACGGAGCAACGCCGCGUGAGUGAUGAAGGUCUUCGGAUCGUAAAACUCUGUUAUUAGGGAAGAACAAAUGUGUAAGUAACUAUGCACGUCUUGACGGUACCUAAUCAGAAAGCCACGGCUAACUACGUG
rnacentral:rRNA from 1 species